UUCAACCAAAUUUUGUCCAGUUUCGACUGAGACAUGACCCGCUAAUGACCAGAUUAAUGAUUAACCAACACCAAAAAUUACCAACUGAAUCUAUACAUAUCUAAUGAUACAUGCAAUUAAACUCAAAUUACGUAGUGAGAGUAUGUUUU